UCUUCAGAAUGUCAGCCUUUACCUCCUUCAGGAGCCCCACCACUUAUUAAAUCAGAGCUGUCUGCUCAGAUGUCCCUUUAUCAUUGAAAACGAGAACGUGUACACCAGAGCUCAGUGUGGGCUGGGGCAGAUGGGCUGCGGAGAGAAGAAAGGUUGGCCGUGUCUUACCCAAAAGAAGAAGAGCAAAGCCCGUGAACCCAAUUUCCUCUGAAACAAGAGCUUGGCCUCUGCUCUGCAUCUUGGCGUGCAGAAAGGGAAAUGCGUCAGGGAAGAGGGCUAGUAAGAGUCUGCAAGCAUUGCUCACAGCGUGUCCCAGCCUCUAGGAAUGAUUUCUGAGGCAGAAAGAUGUAUUUGUUUCAGUACCCUGUUCUUAUAGAACUCAACGAAAGAAACACUCAGCUGCUCCUUCAUGACCUAAGAUAAUUGAAGUCUUUGAUGCAUGAACAAAUAGAGUUGGACCUGCUAAGGAUGAGUUUCCAAUAUCCUUUUUUUUAAUUUCCCGUCUGUAACUCUUGCUUCCAGAGAAUGCUCUACUGUAUAUCAUUAGUUAAUGGGGACAUUAUUUAGGGCCAUUCUACAGUAACUCAUCACUUUUGAGGUUUGGAAUUAGCAGUUUCUAUUAACCAGUUAAAGGCCCACAUCAUUUUCCCUGCAGAGCAUAUAUUCAACUCAGCAAUAUCUUGAUUCUUGCCCUGUCCCAAGAAUCUCAAUAUUCUCUUCUCCUAGACAGCCUUAUUUUUCUUUUAUAAUUGCAAAAAUCUCCUGUGAUGAGCAGUACUUACUUAUCUUUCUAGCCAGGAGAAUAUGAAAACUCAUAUAUUUUUACUCUCAUAGAUUAAAUCAAAUGCACCUUGAACGCCAACACAAUAGCAACAGGAGAAUCUUUUGGAGAGCUGUGACCAAAAUUUUGAAUGGUCAUAAAAGAUGUUGAUUGAUUGGAGGAAAUAAGCUACAACUGGAGACUGCCUGACCAGCGAAUCACUGCGGGGCCAAGGAGCUGGUUUCCCGUGUACAGAGAGAACAAGUUGCUAUUUCAGAAGCUGCUUAGAUCUUACAGCUAAUUAAUGUUGAAGCGGCAUUGUCAGAUGGAAUUUUGCAGGCCUGAUGAUUUUGGACAACACUGGGCAAUUGGAGUGAGGCAGCGACCAGCUGAAUCUGGACAUGAUCACGGUUGCCCAGUGAUGAUCUUGAACCUCAGUGUUCAUGCUAUUGCUGGACAUGGAAGAAUACAAAAUAGAUUUGAAAUUGAUCAUCAUCCAAACUAGAAGAAGACAAAGGACAGCCUGCUCAGUGCUGUGGAUCAUUGGACUGUAGAUGUGCCUAAAUUGGAUGGUUCUUGCUGAAUGACUACUACCAAGUCUCUGCAGAUCACUGCGUAUUUUCCUGUGCUUUUUCACAAGAAAGGCUAACACUCCAAAAACUGCACUGGAAGAUGACUGAAACAAUGCACAAUAUGUUGUUGCUGCUCAUUAUAGAAUAGCUUAACCACAGUAAAAUGGACAAGAUCAAAUAUAGUCCCUGUCCCAGAAAGACUCGGGGAUGUCUCUAACCUAUAUAUCUCUAACCUACAUAUCUCUAGCACAGAAGUUCUUAACCUAGGAUUCAUACAUGCAAGAAGUUCUCUUUCAUGGUAUAAAUGUCUGCGUACUAACAGACUUGAACUAUUUUAA